GCCGCCGUGGAUCAUGGUUGAUCGUCCUUUACAUGUGACUGUGUCCGAGUAAUUACAAUGAAGGGAAGGUGAUGCGGGUUCGAUUCCCCCCGGUGGCC